CUCAUCAGCAAAGAAGAAUGUGAGCGGAGGCCAUGCACUUCAAGUUUUCAUGUUUGAGUUUGGCUACAAUGGAAAACUCCUCUGUGUCGAUGCAGCUCGAGGUGACGGUUCUCUUGGGCGGCUUGUAAACGAUGACCAUAUUAACCCAAACAGCAGGAUUAAGACGAUUCGUGUGGAUGGAAAACCUCACUUAUGUUUAUUUGCUACAAGGAGCAUCUGUCCUGGUGAAGAGAUCCCAUACGAUUAUGGUGAUUCUGAUUGGCCAUGGAGAUGCACGACUUUUCUAUAGUGUGGUUGAACCGUCCACUGUUGAAGUCAACACUCUGUCCCAGUCAGAAGACACAGACGUAUAGAAGGU